rnacentral:rRNA from 1 species
GGCUAACUACGUGCCAGCAGCCGCGGUAAUACGUAGGUGGCAAGCGUUGUCCGGAAUUAUUGGGCGUAAAGGGCUCGCAGGCGGUUUCUUAAGUCUGAUGUGAAAGCCCCCGGCUCAACCGGGGAGGGUCAUUGGAAACUGGGGAACUUGAGUGCAGAAGAGGAGAGUGGAAUUCCACGUGUAGCGGUGAAAUGCGUAGAGAUGUGGAGGAACACCAGUGGCGAAGGCGACUCUCUGGUCUGUAACUGACGCUGAGGAGCGAAAGCGUGGGGAGCGAACAGGAUUAGAUACCCUGGUAGUCCACGCCGUAAACGAUGAGUGCUAAGUGUUAGGGGGUUUCCGCCCCUUAGUGCUGCAGCUAACGCAUUAAGCACUCCGCCUGGGGAGUACGGUCGCAAGACUGAAACUCAAAGGAAUUGACGGGGGCCCGCACAAGCGGUGGAGCAUGUGGUUUAAUUCGAAGCAACGCGAAGAACCUUACCAGGUCUUGACAUCCUCUGACAAUCCUAGAGAUAGGACUUCCCCUUCGGGGGCAGAGUGACAGGUGGUGCAUGGUUGUCGUCAGCUCGUGUCGUGAGAUGUUGGGUUAAGUCCCGCAACGAGCGCAACCCUUGAUCUUAGUUGCCAGCAUUCAGUUGGGCACUCUAAGGUGACUGCCGGUGACAAACCGGAGGAAGGUGGGGAUGACGUCAAAUCAUCAUGCCCCUUAUGACCUGGGCUACACACGUGCUACAAUGGACAGAACAAAGGGCAGCGAAACCGCGAGGUUAAGCCAAUCCCACAAAUCUGUUCUCAGUUCGGAUCGCAGUCUGCAACUCGACUGCGUGAAGCUGGAAUCGCUAGUAAUCGCGGAUCAGCAUGCCGCGGUGAAUACGUUCCC